GAUGAACGCUGGCGGCGUGCCUAAUACAUGCAAGUCGAGCGAACAGAUGAGGAGCUUGCUCCUCUGACGUUAGCGGCGGACGGGUGAGUAACACGUGGAUAACCUACCUAUAAGACUGGGAUAACUUCGGGAAACCGGAGCUAAUACCGGAUAAUAUAUUGAACCGCAUGGUUCAAUAGUGAAAGACGGUUUUGCUGUCACUUAUAGAUGGAUCCGCGCCGCAUUUGCUAGUUGGUAAGGUAACGGCUUACCAAGGCGACGAUGCGUAGCCGACCUGAGAGGGUGAUCGGCCACACUGGAACUGAGACACGGUCCAGACUCCUACGGGAGGCAGCAGUAGGGAAUCUUCCGCAAUGGGCGAAAGCUUGACGGAGCAACGCCGCGUGAGUGAUGAAGGUCUUCGGAUCGUAAAACUCUGUUAUUAGGGAAGAACAAAUGUGUAAGUAACUAUGCACGUCUUGACGGUACCUAAUCAGAAAGCCACGGCUAACUACGUG
rnacentral:rRNA from 1 species